rnacentral:rRNA from 1 species
GACGAACGCUGGCGGCGUGCUUAACACAUGCAAGUCGAACGGAAAGGCCCUGCUUUUGUGGGGUGCUCGAGUGGCGAGCGGGUGAGUAACACGUGAGUAACCUGCCCUUGACUUUGUGAUAACUUCAGGAAACUGGGGCUAAUACCGGGUAGGAGCUCCUGCUGCAUGGUGGGGGUUGGAAAGUUUCGGCGGUUGGGGAUGGACUCGCGGCUUAUCAGCUUGUUGGUGGGGUAGUGGCUUACCAAGGCUUUGACGGGUAGCCGGCCUGAGAGGGUGACCGGCCACAUUGGGACUGAGAUACGGCCCAGACUCCUACGGGAGGCAGCAGUGGGGAAUAUUGCACAAUGGGCGGAAGCCUGAUGCAGCAACGCCGCGUGCGGGAUGACGGCCUUCGGGCUGUAAACCGCUUUCGCCUGUGACGAAGCGUGAGUGACGGUAAUGGGUAAAGAAGCACCGGCUAACUACGUG